GGUAGUCCACGCCGUAAACGAUGUCGACUUGGAGGUUGUUCCCUUGAGGAGUGGCUUCCGGAGCUAACGCGUUAAGUCGACCGCCUGGGGAGUACGGCCGCAAGGUUAAAACUCAAAUGAAUUGACGGGGGCCCGCACAAGCGGUGGAGCAUGUGGUUUAAUUCGAUGCAACGCGAAGAACCUUACCUACUCUUGACAUCCAGAGAACUUAGCAGAGAUGCUUUGGUGCCUUCGGGAACUCUGAGACAGGUGCUGCAUGGCUGUCGUCAGCUCGUGUUGUGAAAUGUUGGGUUAAGUCCCGUAACGAGCGCAACCCUUGUCCUUAGUUACCAGCACGUUAUGGUGGGCACUCUAAGGAGACUGCCGGUGACAAACCGGAGGAAGGUGGGGAUGACGUCAAGUCAUCAUGGCCCUUACGAGUAGGGCUACACACGUGCUACAAUGGCGCAUACAAAGAGAAGCGACCUCGCGAGAGCAAGCGGACCUCAUAAAGUGCGUCGUAGUCCGGAUUGGAGUCUGCAACUCGACUCCAUGAAGUCGGAAUCGCUAGUAAUCGUAGAUCAGAAUGCUACGGUGAAUACGUUCCCGGGCCUUGUACACACCGCCCGUCACACCAUGGGAGUGGGUUGCAAAAGAAGUAGGUAGCUUAACCUUCGGGAGGGCGCUUACCACUUUGUGAUUCAUGACUGGGGUGAAGUCGUAACAAGGUAACC
rnacentral:rRNA from 1 species